rnacentral:lncRNA from 1 species
UAUAUUAUUUUAUAUAUAAAUAUGUAUGUAUGCCUACAAAAUGUAUAUCUUUUGGCAAAAAUAAAAUGUGUGUUUAUUAAAAAUAAAGGCUGGUAAAAAUAUGCCUUGGAUGUUGUAAUUGUCCUGCUAUAACAGAUUUGCUUAAAUGUGUCGCAUAUUCUUUCUUUAAUAAUAAUAUAACAUCUAUUGUCAACAUAAUCUAAAUUCCAAAUGUAAUUCAAACCCAGCAUGUUAAGUUCCUGCCUAAUAUUCAUUAACCAAUUAUCAUUGUAUUGUAUCAUUUCUUCAUAUAUGCCGCGUAACAAAUAAUUAGUAGAGUUGCGUAAUUUUAUCCAGUAUUUAAAUAUUCUGAGUUUUCUUGUGAUUUGCAGCGGGAAACGCCCAAGUUCACUAUAAACAAAUUCGUUGCACGUUCCCGACUUAACAGCCAAUAGUCUUUUACAUAAUUGUAUGUGCAGCUUUUCAACAUCAAGGGCCUUGUGGAAACCCCAUAUAAGAGACCCGGAGAUAGCCCGGGAAGGUGGGACCCGAGGGGAGACCCUUGAGGUCUUCUCAGUCGUAAUGUCAAACUCUAUUGUUCACCUAAGAGCUCAGGGGCCGUAUGCACGAGGGGCGGAUAAGUCCACUAUCCGGGAAUAGUGCCUAUCCGCCGGAUAAGUCUGAAAGGAAAAUGGCCGCGCUGUUGUGUUGCGAUUCAGAAACAGGCAAAUAUGUCAACAAAACUGGUUAUUUCUUGAUCGAACAAAGCAACUUGACACUUUUUAUAAUGUGGAAAAACAUGAAGAAUAUAAAUUUGAACAACAAGAUAUUCUGAAGAAUCACAGAUGAAAUAGCGGGAAACAUCGAAGUGUCCAGUCGGUUGGGCGUGUUAACGUCGCUGUCAAAAUCUACAAAAGUACAAGUUUGCAACACUUUCAAUAUGUCUACGGUAACUGAUCGGCAUGCAUCAGUCAACAAUUUGGUGAGGACUGACAACACUCUUCAGCAGGUGCCAAACCACAAAACGAACAUGGCCGUAGCAAAUGGUGACAUUCUGUAGCAAAUGGUGUCAUUCUGUCAAUAUGCAGGUACAUGGCAUAUAAGUUACUGUUUACUCUGGUUGUGAACCCAGGUGCAUCUAAAGUGAGAAUAUAUACAGCUGGACAAAGUUUAAGCAAGGUGCUGAAUGUGUGCGUUUUGGAACCUUCUAAGAUUCAUAAAGUUAUUAUGGUUUGUGUCAUGCUGCAUAACUGUGCUAGAAAGCUCCAUCUGAUUCAGAGAAAUUCAAUGACAGUGAUCCAGGUUUUGUUUUGUUGCAAGAUGAUAACUUUGAUAGGAAAGAGAUUUCAACCCAAGUGGUUCAUGAUGUUGAUAGCAGAGCUGUUAUUUACUAGUAAUACAUUUACUCUUAAAGACAGCUGUAGAUGACAAAGUAAUUUACAUGCUCUGUUAACACAAAAUGAUAUUCAUAUUUUACAUUUUUCAUACAUCUUCAUUUUGAAUUUAAAUCAAUAUGCAACAGGAAAAUAAUGUUACAAUUAGAUGAUUAUAAUUCAGAACUUCAUUGCAAAACAAUUCAUAAAAUAAAGACAAAUUAACCAAAUAAUUAUGAAAAAUACAUGAAAUUGUUUUAAAAUCUGAUAACAAAUAAAAAAUAAUUUUAAGUAAUAAUUUUUGUUCAUGUACGAUACUGAGUAACUUUAAUUACAUGUUUCCUCUGACAUGUCACCCACUUUAAUUAACAAUUUAAGAUGUGUUUAUCUUAAGUUAUCUACACUUGGUUUAUUUACUUCUACACUACACUUGCUUCACUCUUCACAAUUUGUAAGGUGAAAUAAAUUAGAA